AAAAAACUCAAAAAGACCCAAUCCAAAAAUGAACCCUCAGAAGCCUACUUGGAUAGCUGUGGCUAAUUAUCUUUGGAUUCUCAGUCCUGCCUGUAAGGCCAAACUGAUACUUUUGUAGUCAUUAUGACUUAAUGGAACUUUUUUUAUAUGGUUGCCUAGAAACCACUUUUUCAAGCCAAACGCCCUCCAAAACACACACAGCUUUCUCUUAGGGGAAGAUGCAGUUUUAAAUCUGGGCCAAAGACCUCAGGUGAAAAAGGUGACGGAUCCACAGGGAGAAAUCCAUAUUGAAUCAGAGGUUCUUGUAGAAGCAGGAGAAGGAGUAGGUUACGCAGAGCCGGUUCUCAGCUUAGAUGUGGGGUCUGAAGUUAAAGCCGCACAUACGCCUUGGCAUCCGUGUCCAGGAGAGGCGGUGAAGGAGACGUCAGCAGGGGACCUGCUCUUCCGGCUCUAGUUCCAGAAUCCUGCCAAAAUGAAGUUUCGAAGGCAAAUGGGGUUUCUGGUUUCUACAGCAACCUCUUAUGAUUCCUGAAUAGAAAGAACGUUUAAUCCUCUCCUCACCGCUGGGAUUUCCCAGACUAAAUCAACGGUCCUUCGGGACAGCAAUAAAGUCAGCAAAAGCAAUUAUCCUCAGACAAGCAGACGGGCAGACUCUUGUCACUGCUCAUCCUGCAAUUCCAUGAGAAGGAUGAAGCCGAGGAUUUGUGUCUGAACGAAACUGCCCUUCCAUAACUCCAGGGCCCUGCCUCUCACAGCACCCAACUGGGUAAAGCCAAGAGCACCAUCUUUUGUUUUUUCAGCAAAUGACAGCUGUGCAUGGGAUUUGGAGCCAAGGUCUCACAGGGAUUUAGAAGUUCAGCAGGUGCAGUACUAUCAAAAGGUCUGCAUUUCUGAACACUGGCUCAUUCAAACGCCAGAGAUGAUGCAGCCAUUUUAAUUUUUCUAAAAGAAGCUUCUCAGGAACACAGGACCAUAGGACAAGAACAACUCUUCCUCCUCCUCCUCCUCCUCCUUCUUUGGCAAGAUAGAGGAAGAUGGAAAAAUAUAAGGCCAGUGUGUAAUCUGACACUCCACAGAAAAUGCAACAUCCUGAACCAGAUAAAACAAUUUUGUUAUGACCUGCAAGAUUCAUAUUAAAUAAAC
rnacentral:lncRNA from 1 species